rnacentral:rRNA from 1 species
UACGGGGGGGGCAAGCGUUGUUCGGAAUUACUGGGCGUAAAGGGUGCGUAGGCGGUUCGCUAAGUCAGACGUGAAAUCCCUCAGCUUAACUGGGGAACUGCGUCUGAUACUGGAUGGCUUGAGUUUGGGAGAGGGAUGCGGAAUUCCAGGUGUAGCGGUGAAAUGCGUAGAUAUCUGGAGGAACACCGGUGGCGAAGGCGGGUCUCUGGGCCGAUACUGACGCUGAGGAGCGAAAGCGUGGGGAGCGAACAGG